rnacentral:tRNA from 1 species
CGGGAUGUAGCUUAGCUUGGUAGAGCACUUGGUUUGGGACCAAGGGGUCGCAGGUUCAAAUCCUGUCAUCCCGA